AAUAUGGAACAGAGAUCGAGUAGGUUUCAAAGAAAACACUCCUUUCUGCAUUUAUGUUUCACACACACCCUGCCCCCUUCAAUAGUCUGUUAAUCGGCCUUGAACGAUAUCCCUUUUUCAGAAUCACCUCAUAAAGAAACUCCCAUGUAGUUUUUUUUUUUCUCAAAACCCAAUUUGAGGACAGAGAAAUAGUAUGUUUCAGUUUGUGUAACACCCAUGCAACACAACACAACCCUCUAGAAUGUACCUCCCAGGGAUAAAUGCUGCUUCAGAUUGAGAAAUGGCUGAAUCAACCUAGGUCAAUCAAUUUGUCAAGACUUCCCCAAUAAAUUGAAAAACUCGUUGAGGACACAGAUGGGCGUAAAAUGCUGUAGUUAUUCACAUCUCUAAUUGUUGGUAUUAACAAGAUAACACAAUAAUUGACCCCUUUAAGGUCCGAAUCACAUCUAUACAACAACUGGAAUAUCAGAGCAAAAGUUGAAACCCUUUAUAGCUAUCAGAUCCAGGUGUUGUAUAAAGUUCUGCAUUUUUCACAAAACUACCCAAUUCCUCCAUAGUAAAAGGUCUGAGAAGGAAUUCCUUGGCCCAGUAAAAAAGGCAUCUUUUGUAUCAAAAAAUUCAGAAUACAUCUAUCAUCUCAAGAGCGCAACCAACUCCUUAUACCCCUCAACCAGAAACCAAGAAGGUUCAAACCGAAAGUAUCUAGCAACAAACCAUUCAAAGUUAUUACUGUGAACUGAACUUCCCAAGCUGAAUUCUGAACAUACUAAGACUCCCAGCACAUUUUUCAAUCAAUCAACUAUAAGCAAAGCACCAACAAUUUGAUCCUUUCCAUCUAAUUAUUCUAUGAGACUAGCUUGGUUGCUAACUUUCCACACUGAUAUCUGCUAAAAGUGCUAUGUAUGCUAAUUACAAUGAUAUGAUCAAGAAGCUAAAGAAAUCCCCAAUUUAUCCCCAGUUAAUGAGUCGCAAUUAUGUCACAGAGAAUCCCCUUCUCAUUACUGCGACGAUCCAGAAGCGGAUGUUAAUCAUCUUACCUGCAAUUCCUGAUAAGGAAUCGAUCGCUAACAAGAAAUCAAUGUCCGGAAUUGAGGAUGGUGGUGAACGCUCGGCGCGCACGCGGCUCAGUCGUCGUCGGCGUC
rnacentral:lncRNA from 1 species